rnacentral:rRNA from 1 species
GACGUAGGGCGCGAGCGUUGUCCGGAUUUAUUGGGCGUAAAGAGCUCGUAGGCGGUUUGUUACGUCGUUCGUGAAAACUUGGGGCUCAACUCCAAGCUUGCGGUCGAUACGGGCAGGCUAGAGUUCGGUAGGGGAGACUGGAAUUCCUGGUGUAGCGGUGAAAUGCGCAGAUAUCAGGAGGAACACCGGUGGCGAAGGCGGGUCUCUGGGCCGAUAUUGACGCUGAGGAGCGAAAGCGUGGGGAGCGAACAGG